CGAAGGGGGCUAGCGUUGUUCGGAAUUACUGGGCGUAAAGCGCGCGUAGGCGGUGAUCUAUGUCAGGGGUGAAAUCCCGGGGCUCAACUCCGGAAUUGCCUUUGAAACGGGAUCGCUAGAGUCCGAGAGAGGAUGGCGGAAUUCCUAGUGUAGAGGUGAAAUUCGUAGAUAUUAGGAAGAACACCGGUGGCGAAGGCGGCCAUCUGGCUCGGUACUGACGCUCAGGCGCGAAAGCGUGGGGAGCAAACAGGAUUAGAUACCCUGGUAGUCCACGCCGUAAACGAUGGGUGCUAGUUGUUAGGAAGUUUACUUCUUAGUGACGUAGCUAACGCGUUAAGCACCCCGCCUGGGGGAGUACGGUCGCAAGAUUA
rnacentral:rRNA from 1 species